GUAGUACUCCUUUCGUCCAAAAUUACUUGUCCAAAAAUGAAUAAAAAUGGAUGUAUUUAGAAUUAAAAUAUGUCUGGAUACAUUCAUUUCUGCUACAAAUAAUUUCGGAUGGUGAGAGUACAUC
rnacentral:pre_miRNA from 1 species